AUUGAACGCUGGCGGCAGGCCUAACACAUGCAAGUCUAGCGAGCGGCGGACGGGUGAGUAAUGUAUGGGAAACUGCCUGAUGGAGGGGGAUAACUACUGGAAACGGUAGCUAAUACCGCAUACCAUCAGAUGUGCCCAGCUGGGAUUAGCUAGGAGGUGGGGUAACGCCUCACCUAGGCGACGCUCCCUAGCUGGUCUGCGAGGAUGACCGGCCACACUGUAACUGAGACACGGUCCUGACUCCUCCGGGAGGCAGCAGUGGGUAAUAUUUCACAAUGGGCGCAAGCCUGAUGCAGCCAUUCGGCGUGUAUGAAGAAGGCCUUCGGGUUGUAAAGUACUUUCAGCGGGUAGGCGUUACCCGCAGAAGAAGCACCGGCUAACUCCGUGCCAGCAGCCGCGGUAAUUC
rnacentral:rRNA from 1 species